rnacentral:lncRNA from 1 species
UGCCUGUUCCGCUAGAUGGUUUGUUCUUCACAUUUAUCCGGAUGGUUUCACCUUCCUAGGAACCAAACUACCCAGAGUUACUCAUUUAGGUGAAUAACUGAGUAACUGACUGCAUUCGAGGACAACCCACUAUGACAAGAAUAGAGUGAAGCAAUCACCAACUGUAAAUCACUUUUAAAAUGGUACACAACUGAGUAACUGACUGCAUUCGAGGACAAUCCACUAUGACAAGAAUAGAGUGAAGCAAUCACCAACUGUAAAUCACUUUUAAAAUGGUACAGAAACCACGAUAUAGACAAAGCUCAAAGUAAGAUCGCGCAGAAAAUGGAGUAAAUUGCAUCACCAACGAAAAAUCACUUUUAAAAUGGUAUAGAAAUAAUAUAGACAAGGCUCAAUUAAUGCAAGUUCACACAGAAAAUGGAGUAAAUUGCAUACAAAGAAAACCAACUCACUGGAAUAAAUUUCACAUAGAUAUUCACACGAUGGUCGAUUGGAUUGGAAACAGUCUCUCUGUCCUUUCGGGUAGGGGUAAGGCAUGUCUACAUAUUACCCUCCCCAGACCCCACUUUGUGGAACUAUACUGGGUAGUAGUUGUUGUUGUUGUAUUCACACGAUGUCAUAUUUAACUUUUACUCAUGAGUUAUGACUCAAUAUCCGAUAAACUAAAUAACAUUGGUUAAGAAUCUGAUCAAUCCGAGUAAUUUGAUGCUCUCUACUCAUAGCGUGCCUUUAAUCUCAUAUGAAGUAAUUCAAUAAGUACGUAAUUGAAGCCUAUAUCCAAUUUAAAAUGUAAACCACAUAUUUUUAAGAGGAGGGCUAGUUCUUUUCAAUCACCACCACCCCUUACUCCACGAAAACAUUUCAAAGAAACAAGCAAUCAACAACAUAUCAAUGAUAAAUUAGAUGGGAUUAGCUAUAUGAAUUUUUUGUAUAAAAAAAAAGGCAGCCCGUUGCAUUAA